rnacentral:misc_RNA from 1 species
UGGUUCUGGCAUCGAUGAAGAACGCAGCGAAAUGCGAUAAGUAAUGUGAAUUGCAGAAUUCAGUGAAUCAUCGAAUCUUUGAACGCACAUUGCGCCCUCUGGUAUUCCGGGGGGCAUGCCUGUUCGAGCGUCAUUACAACCUUCAAGCUCUGCUUGGUAUUGGGUGACAUCUCUGGUGCACCUUAAAAUUAGUGGCAGUGUCAUUCAGCUUCAAGCGCAGUAAUCAUCUCGCUCUGGAGUUCUGAACUUGCUCCUGCCAGAACCUCCAUUUAUUAUCAUAGGUUGACCUCGGAUCAGGUAGGGAUACCCGCUGA